rnacentral:rRNA from 1 species
CCUACGGGAGGCAGCAGUGGGGAAUUUUGGACAAUGGGCGCAAGCCUGAUCCAGCAAUGCCGCGUGAGUGAAGAAGGCCUUCGGGUUGUAAAGCUCUUUUGUCAGGGAAGAAACGGUCUACUCUAAUACAGUGGGCUAAUGACGGUACCUGAAGAAUAAGCACCGGCUAACUACGUGCCAGCAGCCGCGGUAAUACGUAGGGUGCAAGCGUUAAUCGGAAUUACUGGGCGUAAAGCGUGCGCAGGCGGUUAUAUAAGUCAGAUGUGAAAUCCCCGGGCUCAACCUGGGAACUGCAUUUGAGACUGUAUGGCUAGAGUGUGUCAGAGGGGGGUAGAAUUCCACGUGUAGCAGUGAAAUGCGUAGAUAUGUGGAGGAAUACCGAUGGCGAAGGCAGCCCCCUGGGAUAACACUGACGCUCAUGCACGAAAGCGUGGGGAGCAAACAGGAUUAGAUACCCUGGUAGUCCACGCCCUAAACGAUGUCUACUAGUUGUCGGGACUUAAUUGUCUUGGUAACGCAGCUAACGCGUGAAGUAGACCGCCUGGGGAGUACGGUCGCAAGAUUAAAACUCAAAAGGAAUUGACGG